UUGACCACAACUAAAGCGUCUGUUUCCUUUUGGAAACGAACAGAGGAGUUAAUUGCUUUGCUCCAACCACUAAUUAGUAUCCCUAAAGUUGUCAGUUUAUCCUUGCAAACUAUACACGGCAAUGACCGCUUAGCUUUAACGUUAUGCUUAUACGUAUAGCUACUCUUUGGAUAUAACAUGAACUUAUUACAACAAAUUAGGAAGGGUGCUAUUUUCCAUAUUUCAGAAGGAAUAAUCGGGAAACGUGAUAUGUUGAACAACACUGUGGAGAGGAAGUUUCUAAAAUGAUUAUUUUAAUUCGCCCUAUUCGCUUUGGUGGCUGUAGCCCUAGCGGCUCCCAACCCCAAGCCCGCGCCUGCGCCGGCGCCCGCGCCCGCCCCGCAGUUCCUGACGUACAGCGCGGGCCUGGACU